UCUUACGUAGUAUCACAAGCCUCCAAUUGACCUUUUGAAUUGAAAUGCAUCAUUCAGUCGAGGAUUUGAACACGAUUUUACAUUCGGAUUUUUAAGUCACAGGCUUACCAGGCUGUUGAGUAGAGAGAAAUGAACUUUUUAAUUUGGUGAAAAUUUGUGCACCUAGGCCGUCAUGCAGCUGGACAAUAGACCAGAACACAAGUCGCGCAGUUUCCUUUUUCCUUGGUAAUAAAAGCCGAAAAUACUGAUCAAAAAAGCUGCCAUUGAUUGGUGACUUUUCUCUUGUUGGUGACCUUCCUUGCAGGCGGGACAAUGAUAAGGAUAGACAGCACAAAAGGAUUAAGAAACGUUUGACGCUCCGAGUGAAUAAAUUGCGUCUUUUGGACGUCUGGAUAUUUCCGCCAAAGCCAAGACCUCUUUUGUGAUGUACUCUCUCUAAUAUUUUUCAGCCCAAACGAGUCAAAUGGUGCGAAAUACCUGUCGUCGUUUACUUCACGUCUGUUUGUGUUUGGUUCACUAAAUAAACUAAAUUGCUCAAUUUGCUUUAAAAAAGUGCU